rnacentral:other from 1 species
GCGGGGCUGUCGGGCGCGUCAGGCAAUUUAUCCCUGGGGCCAAUAAGCAUCCUCCGGGAGCUGGCUCUGGCCGGAUCGUGGUCCGGCUAUCUGGCGCCCACCUGCGCUAGCAGGCCUUAGGAGGAUAAGACGCCAACGGCCAUGGCGGCUCCGCG